CCUACGGGAGGCAGCAGUGAGGAAUAUUGGUCAAUGGGCGUAAGCCUGAACCAGCCAAGUCGCGUGAGGGAUGAAGGUUCUAUGGAUCGUAAACCGCUUUUAUAAGGGGAUAAAGUGUGGGACGUGUCCUGUUUUGUAUGUACCUUAUGAAUAAGGAUCGGCUAACUCCGUGCCAGCAGCCGCGGUAAUACGGAGGGUCCGAGCGUUAUCCGGAUUUAUUGGGUUUAAAGGGUGCGUAGGCGGCCUUUUAAGUCAGCGGUGAAAGUCUGUGGCUCAACCAUAGAAUUGCCGUUGAAACUGGGUGGCUUGAGUAUGUUUGAGGUAGGCGGAAUGCGUGGUGUAGCGGUGAAAUGCUUAGAUAUCACGCAGAACCCCGAUUGCGAAGGCAGCAUGCGACGCCAUGACUGACGCUGAUGCACGAAAGCGCGGGGAUCAAACAGGAUUAGAUACCCGAGUAGUC
rnacentral:rRNA from 1 species